UGCGGCACGAAAUGGAUCUUUAUUCCGCUUCACUCACAUGAUCAGACUGUUCUUGACCAUAUGGUAAGCUUGAGGGGUGGAGAUCUUCAAUCCGCCUUGCAACUUCAGAAAUUUGUGCUGGUCGAGGUAUUGAACGGUGCAGUCAACUGCAAGUUACAAGAGUUGCACCAUUUCUGUUGGAAAUUAUAUUACGUUUCAAC
rnacentral:lncRNA from 1 species